GUUAGGUCAGAUAGGAUACAGGUUGAGUUAGGUCAGGUAGGGUACAGGUUGAGUUAGGUCAGGUACAGGUUGAGUUAGGUCAGGUACAGGUUGAGUUAGGUCAGAUACAGGUUGAGUUAGGUCAGAUACAGUACAGGUUGAGUUAGGUCAGGUACAGAACAGGUUGAGUUAGGUCAGGUACAGAACAGGUUGAGUUAGGUCAGGUACAGAACAGGUUGAGUUAGGUCAGGUACAGAACAGGUUGAGUUAGGUCAGAUACAGGUUGAGUUAGGUCAGAUACAGGUUGAGUUAGGUCAGAUACAGAACAGGUUGAGUUAGGUCAGGUACAGAACAGGUUGAGUUAGGUCAGAUACAGAACAGGUUGAGUUAGGUCAGGUACAGAACAGGUUGAGUUAGGUCAGAUACAGAACAGGUUGAGUUAGGUCAGGUACAGAACAGGUUGAGUUAGGUCAGAUACAGGUUGAGUUAGGUCAGAUACAGAACAGGUUGAGUUAGGUCAGAUACAGGUUGAGUUAGGUCAGGUACAGAACAGGUUGAGUUAGGUCAGGUGCAGAACAGGUUGAGUUAGGUC
ensembl:lncRNA